rnacentral:rRNA from 1 species
AGGUGACUCAGCASCCGCGGUAAUACGUAGGGUGCGAGCGUUAAUCGGAAUUACUGGGCGUAAAGCGUGCGCAGGCGGCUUUGCAAGACAGAUGUGAAAUCCCCGGGCUCAACCUGGGAACUGCAUUUGUGACUGCAAGGCUAGAGUACGGCAGAGGGGGAUGGAAUUCCGCGUGUAGCAGUGAAAUGCGUAGAUAUGCGGAGGAACACCAAUGGCGAAGGCAAUCCCCUGGGCCUGUACUGACGCUCAUGCACCGAAAGCGUGGGGAGCAAACAGGAUUAGAUACCCUGGUAGUCCACGCCCUAAACGAUGUCAACUGGUUGUUGGACGGCUAG